CUUCAGAGUCACAAGCAGCUUAAACAUUGUGAUUUCUAUAUAAUACUGUAUCAGAGAUCAGAUUCUGCAGGUUAAACAUUGUGAUUUCUAUAUAAUACUGUAUCUGAGAUCAGAUUCUGCAGGUUAAACAUUGUGAUUUCUAUAUAAUACUGUAUCUGAGUUUAAACAUUGUGAUUUCUAUAUAAUACUGUAUCAGAGAUCAGAUUCUGCAGGUUAAACAUUGUGAUUUCUAUAUAAUACUGUAUCUGAGAUCAGAUUCUGCAGGUUAAACAUUGUGAUUUCUAUAUAAUACUGUAUCUGAGAUCAGAUUCUGCAGGUUCCUUGACACGUACCUUUAUCAAAUAACUCUCAACAUUCAGGAGGUGCAGCUUUAUUCAAUUCAUCCAU
ensembl:lncRNA